rnacentral:lncRNA from 1 species
CCGAGCGUUACAGGGAGAGGAACUGGCACCGCCCUCAAGAUCGUAGCCACUGGUCCAAUUGCUGGCGGCGAGAGGAUGCAGACUAUGAGCAGAGGAGAUACAGUUACUCUUCUCACGAUGGCUUUGAUAGCUGAGCGUCUUGGACGGCCAAGGACAGAAGCAGAGGAAGAGAUUACCACCAUUUGAAAGAGAGAUCCUGCUCCCCAUCAUGUGGCCGUCUGCCAGCAUCUGAAUCAGCUUGUAACAGAGCAAAUCACUAUUAUAGGAAGAACGGUUCUACUGAGAGGGACGGCAGCUCUCAAGCACAUCGCUCCAAAAAACACUAGAUGUGUAAGAGAAGGAAGUCAGAUGAUAAAGACAGACACUGUGACAGCAGGAGUUCUGAUGUGGAUUCAGACCGAGGUGCAGAAAAGAAAAGGAGGCGACACCACAGCAGCGACAGCGAGCGCAGCCUGUGCAUGGAGCGAAGCCACAAGAAUGGAAGCGACGAGGAAAGGGAGAGUCGCAAACGACGUUACUCGCAUGAAAACUACUGUAAAUCUGAUAGCAGCUUUCCACCUGGAAAAAGUCCAAGAUUGCCACUCCCUCGGUUCUAUGUCACUCACUAAUGGUUCAACUCACCGACACCACAAGCUCUCUCCAGCUCCAGUGUUUUUUGCCCUGGGCGCCAAUAUUGUGACAAAACUAUUUGUGUCUGCCUAAUACAGUUUGCGUGUCUGUACUUUGAUCCAUGCCGUUAAAACCCAAUCCGACGUACGGCUCCAGCUGCACUUCCAAAAUCUCAGCUGAUAUUGCCUCUGCAGUCAUGUUGUCCGUUUCCACAAAUCCCACAGCCUGUUCUUUCAAUGUGCAGGUGUGCAGAUAUCUGACGCAUACUGCCACUAGCUCUCUUAUUGACAAGUCUUUUCACUCAUCUGCUAAAAUGGCAUAAUAUGUGUCUGUCUCAUCAUGCAAAUCUGCCUUUAUUUUUAAGAUAAGGAGUGAUGCUGUGAUUUCCAGCAUCUAAUUUUUUAUAGCGUGGUGCAGUAGUUUACCAUUCUUGGGUAAUUCAUUCAGUCUCCUUUUUAUUUCUCGGUCAUAUUUGGAAACCAGGUUAAUUGGUUCCAAAAAGUCACCCUUGUUUAAAGCUUCUAGGUGUUCCCAAUGCCCACGCAAUGAGAUUUCUUGUUUUGCACUGAACAGGAGGAGAUCUAUUACCAUGAUGUGCUGUCUAUGUCUUUCAUUGAAGGACAUGUCACUGGCAUCUUUGUUCAGCUGGCUGGUGACUUUACAUGAAACCAUCUAUUUCAAGAAUAAAACUUUAUAAUUGUAUCUUUCA